rnacentral:rRNA from 1 species
GAUGAACGCUGGCGGCGUGCCUAAUACAUGCAAGUCGAGCGAACAGACGAGGAGCUUGCUCCUCUGACGUUAGCGGCGGACGGGUGAGUAACACGUGGAUAACCUACCUAUAAGACUGGGAUAACUUCGGGAAACCGGAGCUAAUACCGGAUAAUAUAUUGAACCGCAUGGUUCAAUAGUGAAAGACGGUUUUGCUGUCACUUAUAGAUGGAUCCGCGCCGCAUUAGCUAGUUGGUAAGGUAACGGCUUACCAAGGCAACGAUGCGUAGCCGACCUGAGAGGGUGAUCGGCCACACUGGACCUGAAACGCGGUCCAGACUCCUACGGGAGGCAGCAGUAGGGAAUCUUCCGCAAUGGGCGAAAGCCUGACGGAGCAACGCCGCGUGAGUGAUGAAGGUCUUCGGAUCGUAAAACUCUGUUAUUAGGGAAGAACAAAUGUGUAAGUAACUAUGCACGUCUUGACGGUACCUAAUCAGAAAGCCACGGCUAACUACGUG